rnacentral:lncRNA from 1 species
UUGGUGUUCCAUGAUCUGUGAAAAGCCUCCCCAAUGCAUGCUUUUUUAAAUGUUUCAAAAUUCCUGAUAUGACAUGCUUAUGUUUUACAUAGGCAAGUCUUCGUGUUUGUAUCCAAGGCUGAAAGACCUGCAUUAAAAGUUAGAAGAAGUUCAGCACGAUUUAUCUAUUUAUCAGCCAGGUGCCCAGGCAUAUAGGACGAUUAGGCUUUCUUUUUCCUUUUACUUCUCUAUUUUCUAAGAAGAGUGAUGAAACCAUUUUGUACUCUGAUCCCAGCUCAACCAUUUUGGCUAUGGUUGGAUGGAAGCUACUUGAGUCAUUGGCAUGCCAAUUGAACUAUUCAAUUCAGAACUGUUAAAGUUGAUUAGAUUUUGCAAAAUGUGCUCAUUCUUGGGCAUAUUCUACGCAGAUAAUGAUGUAGAUUGUAGCAGUGUGCAAGAAAGAAUAAUUCAAAUUGGAUGGAGAGAAAAAAAUGACAAUAUGACAAUUACCUGAUAAAGGCAAUAAGAAACGAGAAGCGACAGUGAUAUGAUAAGUGCUAUUAAGACCGCUAAAUGUCUUCCUGAAGUUGAAUGGAAGAGCUGUGGCAACUGCACAACAAUAAAUGGAAUAACAGAUACGGCCAUGAUCAUUGCAGCAUAGCUUGUCC